AUGAAUCUUAAAAUUUAUUAUGAGUCAUUUUGUUUGAGGAAUAAUGAGGAAUAACUUUAAGUUCUCUAUUUUUAACGUAGUAAUUUUCAAUUCUUUACAGAAUGAUUGGGAAAAAGUGCUUCGUCAAUUUGGUGAUAAGGACCAAAAGAUCCAGAACCUUGAAGCCUUAUUACAGGAGAGUAAAGAAAAUAUUUCUUUCCUAGAAAAGGAAAGAGAAGAUUUUAUGCAAAUACUCAGGCUGGUGAAGGAGAGACCGCUGUUCUUAAUCAGUUGCAGGAAGAAAACCAUAUAUUACAGGAACAAGUAACUCAACU
rnacentral:lncRNA from 1 species